AGAGUUUGAUCAUGGCUCAGGAUGAACGCUAGCGGCAGGCUUAAUACAUGCAAGUUGAGGGGCAGCAUGAUAUACGCGAGUAUAUUGAUGGCGACCGGCGGACGGGUGAGUAAUAGGUAGGAGACCUACCUCAUACAGGGGGAUAGCAUAGAGAAAUCUGUGGUAAUACCCCAUGAGGUUAUAUGAAUAGAGGCAUAUAAUCAAAGCAUAAGCGAUUAUGCGGUAUGAGAGGGGCCUACUGACCAUUAGCUAGUUGGUGAGGUAAGGGCUCACCAAGGCGAAGAUGGUUAGGGGUUUUGAGAGAGAGACCCCCCACACUGGUACUGAGACACGGACCAGACUCCUACGGGAGGCAGCAGUGAGGAAUAUUGGUCAAUGGGCGCAAGCCUGAACCAGCCAUCCCGCGUGCAGGAAGACGGCCCUAUGGGUUGUAAACUGCUUUUCCAGGGAGAGAAACCUGCGCACGUGUUGCGCAAUUGACGGUACCCUGGGAAUAAGCAUCGGCUAACUCCGUGCCAGCAGCCGCGGUAAUACGGAGGAUGCAAGCGUUAUCCGGAUUCAUUGGGUUUAAAGGGUGCGUAGGCGGACUAUUAAGUCAGUGGUGAAAGCCUGCAGCUUAACUGCAGACCUGCCAUUGAUACUGAUAGUCUUGAGUUUGGUUAAGGUAGGCGGAAUGUGUAAUGUAGCGGUGAAAUGCUUAGAUAUUACACAGAACACCAAUUACGUAGGCAGCUUACUGAGCCGACACUGACGCUGAGGCACGAAAGCGUGGGGAUCGAACAGGAUUAGAUACCCUGGUAGUCCACGCCGUAAACGAUGAUUACUCGCUGUUGGCGAUACACUGUCAGCGGCUAAGCAAAAGCAAUAAGUAAUCCACCUGGGGAGUACGGCCGCAAGGUUGAAACUCAAAUGAAUUGACGG
rnacentral:rRNA from 1 species